CUGGCUAACAGAGAGAAGAAAUCCCUUCUAUCAAUGACAAACAGCUCGCAGUCCGAAUUUGCAAUGGCAUCGGCAGUUCUGGCAAGACCAUCGAGAACCGCAAUCUCGCCGAACAUCUCUCCCGCNNNNNNNCCAUAUUGAAAAUAGCGCCCCGGCCAUCGGCGGACGAGACGCCGAUCUUCACCGUGCCGCUGAUAAUGAAGAACAGGCUUUGGCCCGGAUCCCCUUUGGCGAAAAUCGU
rnacentral:misc_RNA from 1 species